GAUGAACGCUAGCGGCAGGCUUAAUACAUGCAAGUCGAGGGGCAGCGGGGUAGCAAUACCGCCGGCGACCGGCAAACGGGUGCGGAACACGUACAGAACCUCCCUCCAAGUGGUGAAUAGCCUUCCGAAAGGAAGAUUAAUACACCGUAAUAUUAAAGAGUGGCAUCACUUUCUAAUUAUAGAUUUAUCGCUUAGAGAUGGCUGUGCGGCUGAUUAGGUAGUUGGCGGGAAUAGCCACCAAGCCUGCGAUCAGUAACUGUGUGAGAGCGCGACCAGUCACACGGGCACUGAGACACGGGCCCGACUCUACGGGAGGCAGCAGUGGGGAAUAUUGCGCAAAUGGGCGAAAGCCUGACGCAGCGACGCCGCGUGAGGGAUGAAGGCCUCGGUCGUAACU
rnacentral:rRNA from 1 species